rnacentral:rRNA from 1 species
UCGGAUGCGAUCAUACCAGCACUAAAGCACCGGAUCCCAUCAGAACUCCGAAGUUAAGCGUGCUUGGGCGAGAGUAGUACUAGGAUGGGUGACCUCCUGGGAAGUCCUCGUGUUGCAUUCC